rnacentral:rRNA from 1 species
UACAGAGACUGCAAGCGUUAUUCGGAUUCACUGGGCGUAAAGGGUGCGCAGGCGGCCAAGUGUGUUAGGCGUGAAAGCCUGAGGCUUAACCUCAGAAUUGCACCUAAAACUACAUGGCUAGAGCAUUGGAGAGGGUAGCGGAAUUCACGGUGUAGCAGUGAAAUGCGUAGAUAUCGUGAGGAACACCAGAGGCGAAGGCGGCUACCUGGACAAUUGCUGACACUCAGACACGAAAGCGUGGGGAGCAAAAGGG